CCACAAUUCUCUCUCACUCUCCUUCACGAAGUCAUCCAAGCCACCGAAGUGAACCAGUCGCCGUACCGAUCGGAUCGGUACUGACCGAGUCCUUAGUUGCAGCCUCUGCUGCCUAUAGCCUCGAAUUUCCGUCGCCGAUGAUGUCUUCUAACGACGUAGAGAGCACGAGACAGCGUUUUACUCGCCGCAGUGCUCUUUGCGUGCAUCGGUAGCGCACCUCCCUAACCUGCUCACCCCUCCUUCUUUCCUUACAGAGCAGCCGAGACCCACUCGGACCUCCAACGAUGAAGCAUUCCUGGAGAAGAACCGAUCCCAAGGAGGCGAGUCUCUGACGCCGGCGAGGAGUGGACGAAGCGAUUCCUUUUGUCUCUUGUAUUGCAGCUCCCAGUCUGAUUUGGAAGCUAAUCUCUUCAAGCCCACUUUGAAAAUCUUCUGAUGAGAGCUCAAAGGAUUCUGUUUUGGUGAUAAUUCAUCCAAAGAGUUCAUCUGCAUGCAAAGAUAGAAGCAAUUGAUCACUUGAAAGAGUUCUUUAGAGAAAGUUUGAUUGCAACAUGCAAGGACUUGUGAAUUGUGUAAAAUGUGCUCAGUCACUUGGGUCAGCAGCUCAUAUAUAUAUAGUUGUAUAUGUACAUCUCAAGAGAGGUGGUGUGUAGGGGUGAGGCGUGGGAAGGGAAGAUUCAUGUAUCAGCAGCUGUUGGGGUGCUGGUUCCUCAUUAACAUAGAGCAUUUUGUUCUCAUUAAAAAUAUGAAGUUCUGGUUUACCUACCAUAUUGUACAUCGAUCUUUUUGCUACAUAACCAAUAAUGAAUGAAAUCUGGGUAUAUUUGUU